UUGACAAAAACCAAAAAGAGGUAUAUCACUGUUAAUGAUAAAAUUGAAAUUAAUUUCUUGUCAAG
rnacentral:tRNA from 1 species